UAGGGCGUGGUGUUGGGGAUCGGCCAAAGCCCGCAAGGGACGGCCGGCCCCUAAAUCUAGUGGCGGACCCGUCGUGGCCUCCUCUGCGAAGUAGUGAUAUUCCGCAUCGGAGAGCGAUGAGCCCCUGCCGUUAAACCCCCAACUUUCUAAGGUUGACCUCAGAUCAGGUAGGAAUACCCGCUGAACUUAAGCAUAUCAAUAAGCGGAGGAAAAGAAACCAACAGGGAUUGCCCUAGUAACGGCGAGUGAAGCGGCAACAGCUCAAAUUUGAAAUCUGGCGCAAGCCCGAGUUGUAAUUUGUAGAGGAUGUUUCUGGCGACGUGCCUUCCGAGUUCCCUGGAACGGGACGCCAUAGAGGGUGAGAGCCCCGUACGGUUGGAUGCCUAGCCUCUGUGAAACUCCUUCGACGAGUCGAGUAGUUUGGGAAUGCUGCUCUAAAUGGGAGGUAUACGUCUUCUAAAGCUAAAUACCGGCCAGAGACCGAUAGCGCACAAGUAGAGUGAUCGAAAGAUGAAAAGCACUUUGAAAAGAGGGUUAAAAAGUACGUGAAAUUGUUGAAAGGGAAGCGUUCAUGACCAGACUUGAGCAGGUUGAUCAUCCGUGGUUCUCCGCGGUGCACUCUGCCUGCUCAGGCCAGCAUCAGUUCGCUCCGGGGGAUAAAGGCUCUGGGAAUGUGGCUCCUUCGGGAGUGUUAUAGCCCACUGCGUAAUACCCUGGGGUGGACUGAGG
rnacentral:rRNA from 1 species